ACAGCGUUUAUGAUUGUUAUUAUUUCUUUUUCAAAUGCAUAUGAACAGAGACAAUUAUUCGAAAGUGAUAAUAAACACUGGAAAGCCAGACUUAUACGCUGCCCAAACUUACUGUGAUUUUUUACAAGAAACUCUACAGAAAAGUGGAUUGAGCUUGAACCCACACAAUUCUGGCAUUCACUGCUAUUCAUGGAUCAGAUUCAAACAAGCGAUGAUUCCCGAGUGGAUAUAGUGUCAUGAUGGAAUAUUACAGAAAGGAUGAAAUUGUUGCACAAUUUAUUCAAAUUUGGAUGAAAUCGGUGGUACGAAUUUGUUCGAAUUUAAGAUUGAAACACGGCUAUAUUCUAUCCUAUAUCUAAAAUGUUUCAAUCUCAUCAAUCUUUUUUGUUUGUAUUACUUAAAAUCGACACUACAGGACCACAGAAAUGGUUGCAGGAUCAUUUCCUGCUGAAC